rnacentral:rRNA from 1 species
UACGUAGGUGGCAAGCGUUGUCCGGAUUUACUGGGCGUAAAGAGCGCGCAGGCGGUCGUUCAAGUCGCGUGUGAAAGCCCCCGGCUCAACUGGGGAGGGGUCAUUCGAUACUGAUCGACUCGAAGGCAGGAGAGGGUAGUGGAAUUCCCGGUGUAGUGGUGAAAUGCGUAGAUAUCGGGAGGAACACCAGUGGCGAAGGCGACUACCUGGCCUGUUCUUGACGCUGAGGCGCGAAAGCUAGGGAGCAAACGGG